rnacentral:rRNA from 1 species
UACGUAGGUCCCGAGCGUUGUCCGGAUUUAUUGGGCGUAAAGCGAGCGCAGGUGGUUUAUUAAGUCUAGUGUAAAAGGCAGUGGCUCAACCAUUGUAUGCAUUGGAAACUGGUAGACUUGAGUGCAGGAGAGGAGAGUGGAAUUCCAUGUGUAGCGGUGAAAUGCGUAGAUAUAUGGAGGAACACCGGUGGCGAAAACGGCUCUCUGGCCUGUAACUGACACUGAGGCUCGAAAGCGUGGGGAGCAAACAGG